UACGUAGGGUGCAAGCGUUGUCCGGAAUUAUUGGGCGUAAAGAGCUCGUAGGCGGUCUGUCGCGUCGGAUGUGAAAGCCCGGGGCUUAACCCCGGGUCUGCAUUCGAUACGGGCAGACUAGAGUGUGGUAGGGGAGAUCGGAAUUCCUGGUGUAGCGGUGAAAUGCGCAGAUAUCAGGAGGAACACCGGUGGCGAAGGCAGAUCUCUGGGCCAUUACUGACGCUGAGGAGCGAAAGCGUGGGGAGCGAACAGG
rnacentral:rRNA from 1 species